GGAGAGAUGGCUGAGUGGCUUAAGGCGUCAUGUUACUAAUGAGCUAUUUGUAUCGAGGGAUCGAGUCCCUCUCUCUCUG
rnacentral:tRNA from 1 species